GUCUAUGGACAUGCCACCCUGAACAUGCCCGAUCUCAUCCAAUCUUGGAAGAUAAGCAGGCUCAGGCCUGGUUAGUACUUGGAUGGGAGACCACCUAAAAAUACCAGGUGCUGUAGACU
rnacentral:rRNA from 1 species